GUGGGUACGGGCAGGCUAGAGUGUGGUAGGGGAGACUGGAACUCCUGGUGUAGCGGUGAAAUGCGCAGAUAUCAGGAAGAACACCGAUGGCGAAGGCAGGUCUCUGGGCCAUUACUGACACUGAGAAGCGAAAGCAUGGGUAGCGAACAGGAUUAGAUACCCUGGUAGUCCAUGCCGUAAACGUUGGGCACUAGGUGUGGGGGACAUUCCACGUUUUCCGCGCCGUAGCUAACGCAUUAAGUGCCCCGCCUGGGGAGUACGGCCGCAAGGCUAAAACUCAAAGGAAUUGACGGGGGCCCGCACAAGCGGCGGAGCAUGCUGAUUAAUUCGAUGCAACGCGAAGAACCUUACCAAGGCUUGACAUGCACUGGACGGCUGCAGAGAUGUGGCUUUCUUUGGACUGGUGCACAGGUGGUGCAUGGUUGUCGUCAGCUCGUGUCGUGAGAUGUUGGGUUAAGUCCCGCAACGAGCGCAACCCUCGUUCUAUGUUGCCAGCACGUGAUGGUGGGGACUCAUAGGAGACUGCCGGGGUCAACUCGGAGGAAGGUGGGGACGACGUCAAAUCAUCAUGCCCCUUAUGUCUUGGGCUU
rnacentral:rRNA from 1 species